rnacentral:tRNA from 1 species
GACCCGGUAGCUCAGUCGGUAGAGCAUGCGGCUUUUAACCGCCAGGUCGUGGGUUCGAUUCCCACCCGGGUCA